GCCAAAUGCAAGGGCAUCACCCUCUUUGUGCUGGCCUUGGGUCCGGGUGUGGGGACCCAUGAGCUAGCCGAGCUAGCCGAGCUGGUCAGUGCUCCCUCUGAGCAGCAUCUACUGCGCCUACAAGGGGUCUCAGAGCCAGAGGUUAACUACGCUCGGGGAUUCACUCGGGCCUUCCUGAACCUCCUAAAAAGUGGGACAAACCAGUACCCACCCCCAGAGCUCACUGAAGAAUGUGGGGGCCUACACCGUGGGGACACUUGCUGCAAUUAGUCACGCCUGUCAACAGGUUUCCCAGGCACCAGUUUGGUAUGUCUGGCUUGGCUGAUGAUUUGGAAGCACUUGAAGCAACAGGCAUUUUUCUAGAAGAGAAGAGAAAAGAAAUCACAACAUCUAUAACUCAGCAAGAAGCACUUGAAAAUUAUGAAAAUAACAAAUAUGACAUUGAAGAAAAUGAACAAGAAACACCAGCAAAACAAAAAGAAACUAGAAAAGAAAUAAAUGCAG
rnacentral:lncRNA from 1 species